rnacentral:rRNA from 1 species
UACAGAGGUCUCGAGCGUUAGGCGGAAUCACUGGGCUUAAAGCGUGUGUAGGUGGAUGCCUAAGUACCUUGUGAAAUCCCACAGCUUAACUGUGGAACUGCUUGGUAUACUGGGUGUCUUGAGUCACUCAGGGGCGAGCGGAACAAAUGGUGGAGCGGUGAAAUGCGUAGAUAUCAUUUGGAACGCCAAUGGUGAAAACAGCUCGCUGGGGGUGCACUGACACUGAGACACGAGAGCCAGGGGAGCGAACGGG